AGCUUACAGGGUAAACAGGAUGUUAGUUGUACAGUGACAUGUAUGUGAUAUUUUAAGAAUUAUAGCAUGUUAAAGGCUUGUAAAAUCGAGUCGGACAAGGUAAAAGAUUCAUUGACAAACAUUUUGCAAAAAUUCGCAAUUGGAGAGAACUAUUAUCCCAAACAAAACAAGCAGGCACUCCAUACAUUGCCACUAAAAGCAGAUGAUAACGGCAAGAAUAUCCUCAAAAGCAAAUUCCAGAAUUCUAAUGGAAAAACCACGAAGCUGUAUCAUAGGAUUGCGAGCUAUUAGAUGCACAAGGAAAUAAUCAAAUCUUACUGGCAAAGGAAAGACCUUCCUCGGUCAGCUGAUCCAAAUUCUGAACAGAAGGCUGGACUCUUGCAACUUUAGCAAUAGCCUUGUUU
rnacentral:misc_RNA from 1 species